GGCAUUUAUGGAGACACGGUCAUACAGAGAAUCAUUGGGAUUAUGAAUCAAAUGUUAACUGUAAGACUGUGUCUUUAUGUUUGUC
rnacentral:pre_miRNA from 1 species